rnacentral:rRNA from 1 species
CAGGGUUUGACAUGUAGUCGCACCAUCCCCAAUCGGAUGUGCCCGCAAGGGACGGCUGCACAGGUGCUGCAUGGCUGUCGUCAGCUCGUGCCGUGAGGUGUUGGGUUAAGUCCCGCAACGAGCGCAACCCUCGUCCUUAGUUGCCACCAUUCAGUUGGGCACUCUAGGGAGACUGCCGGCGUUAAGCCGGAGGAAGGUGGGGACGACGUCAAGUCAUCAUGGCCCUUAUGUCCAGGGCCACACACGUGCUACAAUGGACGGUACAAAGGGUCGCAAACCCGCGAGGGGGAGCCAAUCCCAAAAAGCCGUUCUCAGUUCGGAUUGGAGUCUGCAACUCGACUCCAUGAAGUUGGAAUCGCUAGUAAUCGCGGAUCAGCACGCCGCGGUGAAUACGUUCCC